GGGCCUCUCGCGUCAGGAUAUGCCUAGGUGGGAUUAGCUAGUUGGUGAGGUAAGGGCUCACCAAGGCGACGAUCCCUAGCUGGUCUGAGAGGAUGAUCAGCCACACUGGAACUGAGACACGGUCCAGACUCCUACGGGAGGCAGCAGUGGGGAAUAUUGCACAAUGGGCGCAAGCCUGAUGCAGCCAUGCCGCGUGUGUGAAGAAGGCCUUCGGGUUGUAAAGCACUUUCAGUCGUGAGGAAGGUAGUGUAGUUAAUAGCUGCAUUAUUUGACGUUAGCGACAGAAGAAGCACCGGCUAACUCCGUGCCAGCAGCCGCGGUAAUACGGAGGGUGCGAGCGUUAAUCGGAAUUACUGGGCGUAAAGCGCAUGCAGGUGGUUUGUUAAGUCAGAUGUGAAAGCCCGGGGCUCAACCUCGGAAUUGCAUUUGAAACUGGCAGACUAGAGUACUGUAGAGGGGGGUAGAAUUUCAGGUGUAGCGGUGAAAUGCGUAGAGAUCUGAAGGAAUACCGGUGGCGAAGGCGGCCCCCUGGACAGAUACUGACACUCAGAUGCGAAAGCGUGGGGAGCAAACAGGAUUAGAUACCCUGGUAGUCCACGCCGUAAACGAUGUCUACUUGGAGGUUGUGGCCUUGAGCCGUGGCUUUCGGAGCUAACGCGUUAAGUAGACCGCCUGGGGAGUACGGUCGCAAGAUUAAAACUCAAAUGAAUUGACGGGGGCCCGCACAAGCGGUGGAGCAUGUGGUUUAAUUCGAUGCAACGCGAAGAACCUUACCUACUCUUGACAUCCAGAGAACUUUCCAGAGAUGGAUUGGUGCCUUCGGGAACUCUGAGACAGGUGCUGCAUGGCUGUCGUCAGCUCGUGUUGUGAAAUGUUGGGUUAAGUCCCGCAACGAGCGCAACCCUUAUCCUUGUUUGCCAGCGAGUAAUGUCGGGAACUCCAGGGAGACUGCCGGUGAUAAACCGGAGGAAGGUGGGGACGACGUCAAGUCAUCAUGGCCCUUACGAGUAGGGCUACACACGUGCUACAAUGGCGCAUACAGAGGGCAGCCAACUUGCGAAAGUGAGCGAAUCCCAAAAAGUGCGUCGUAGUCCGGAUUGGAGUCUGCAACUCGACUCCAUGAAGUCGGAAUCGCUAGUAAUCGUGGAUCAGAAUGCCACGGUGAAUACGUUCCCGGGCCUUGUACACACCGCCCGUCACACCAUGGGGAGUGGGCUGCAAAAGAAGUAGGUAGUUUAACCUUCGGGGGGGACGCUUACCACUUUUGUGGUUCAUGACUGGGGUGAACU
rnacentral:rRNA from 1 species